GACGAACGCUGGCGGCGUGCUUAACACAUGCAAGUCGAGCGGUAAGGCCCUUUCGGGGGUACACGAGCGGCGAACGGGUGAGUAACACGUGGGUGACCUGCCCUUAGCUCUGGGAUAAGCCCUGGGAAACGUGGGUCUAAUACCGGAUAUGACUCCAUGACGCAUGUUGUGGGGUGGAAAGCCUUGUGCGGCUAGGGAUGGGCCCGCGGCCUAUCAGCUUGUUGGUGGGGUGAUGGCCUACCAAGGCGACGACGGGUAGCCGGCCUGAGAGGGCGACCGGCCACACUGGGACUGAGACACGGCCCAGACUCCUACGGGAGGCAGCAGUGGGGAAUCUUGCGCAAUGGGCGAAAGCCUGACGC
rnacentral:rRNA from 1 species